GGGAACCAGUGGGCUGGUUUUCCAGGGGCUUCUCCCCUUUUCUUUUCUUUUUCUUUUCUGAUUUCUUUUUUUUCCAAGACAUUUUCCAAUAGAGUUUUUUUAAGCAAAACAAUUAAAAUAAACCAGAACAAACAAUGCAAAAAUAUCUAUGCUCCAGCAUGAAUGCAAAAUCACGUUUUUAAACUUAUGAUGAGUUUUAAUCUUCACAAUAUUAAUUGUUUGCUAGAUUCAAAUGCCCACAAAAAUACUUAAAUAAAUCAAAUUAAUUCCUAUUAAUUGAAAUAAAAUUUUUGGGUGUUACAGUACUUCUAGUAUUUACUUUCUGUCUUAGUUUAUUUUAAGUAUACAACUGGCCUACUAGCACAUUGCUUUGCCUUGUGUGAAGUGCUCGAAACCUUACCUGGAUCUAGAGUAGUAGAAUUAGUGUAGACGUGGUGUCUAGACUAAGUCUGCCCUUGUGGACUUCUUGUCGCACCUGAAGAACGCCAGCAGCGAAGCUUGACAUCCUCUGUUGUACAUUAGGUGUUCUCUUCAGUGUGUUGUUAGGCAAGUUGCAAAUAAUAGUUGGCCUGCAUGGUAGAUGCCUAGGGAAGUGUUUCGCCACACCUUUUUCACCUAUCGGCCACAUAGGAAUGGAGUUAACUCUCAAUAUACUUAGGAUAGCUUAGCCAGAAGCCAAAUACUAGAAAUACCUCUCCACCCAAUCCUAAGCCCUUUGAUCAUCAUCUAAUGACUCAAUUGGUCUAGUUAGUCACUUCUUGUUCUCCAUGGAAAAUAUGAUACCUGGAAUACUCCUGGUGAAGUGCUACAUUGACCACCGUCCGCUUGCGGUAAAACCGUUUGCCACUUCUGGUGUCACACAAGCAUUUGUAGUGCUGUGCUAAGGACUAAUAAUCCUAGGUACUGACGCUAAGAAGAGUCAACAAGCAUUUAUGGCGCCGUUGCUGGGGAACGGUAGCUGAUCUAACUUAGAACCAAGUCAUCUGAGUUACCCUUCUUUUACCUUUAUUUUCUUUUUAUCCUUUCCACUGCAUGUUUGCUUAAUAUUGCAUAAAUCUAGUGCUUUCUUGGGUAGCUCCUAGUCUUUGAGUUGUAUUCAGGCAUCAUGCCUAGUCUAGAUAGACAACAAUUUUAUUGUUGUCUACCUAUUCGGGCU
rnacentral:lncRNA from 1 species